GGGGGGGGUGGACUCCGUGGUCCCGCUCACGUGACUGGCAGUGGCUGCGGGCUUUCUGUGGGCUGAGCUGGUCGCUUUCCACAGCACCUCCACGGGGCUUGUCCACGAGGGCGGAGUCCGGCAUCCUUACCUGUGGGAGCAGGGUUCCAGGACAAGCAUCCUAAAAAGAUCCAGAGGAGGCCCGGGGAUUUAGUUCAGCAGUUUCGCCGCCUACUGCGCCAAGCCCAAGGACCCGAGUUUCGAUCCCUGGUACCAAAAAAACCCCAAGACAAACAAAAAAAGAACCAGAGGAAGCUUCACCACCAUUCUGGCUUAUUUUCAGGCAUCACACAGCAUCAUUCCCCCUCUAGUGACAAGCCCACUUGAAUGGAGGACAGUAGACCCCUCAUCUUAAUGGAUAAGUUGGAGUCAGGGUCAUACUGUAAGAAGUGUAUGGAAGAUAGAUGGUACAGUUGCAGCCAUUCUGUGACAUACAUCCUGCCUCAGGUGACAAGUGACUAGGCCCCGGAUAGGACAUUCAGUCUUAUCCAGCCUUACUACAGGUUUUCUAAAGUGUAUCAGGGAUCAGUAAAACUGGACAGAUGGACCUCAGAUUCGGAGCUGGGUCAGAAAUAUCCUUCUUGCAAAAACACCACAUCAGCCCAUGUGGCAGAACAGCAUCCUGGUGACAAAUGAAGCCAGAUGGGUGCCAUAUCCUGGCCAUGAUGUGUUUCAGAUUUUGUAAGAUGAGAUCACUGUAAAGGGCACAUGAGACGGGGGCACUGAGCCACAGCUCACCUCAGAAGCAGCUGGACCAGAAGAUGAACUUGGGCUGUUCGGCGCCUGCCGUGUAAAGAAUGACCAGAAUGGCCCCACCUGCACCUGUACCCCAGGACUCUCGGGAGACGGCGGGAGGUGAGCAAGCCAAGCGGGCACAGCUCCUGGAGGCCACAGAUGCUGAACACAAGUCCUGGGCUGCAGAGACAAGGACGUGGCCGGCAGAGGCCGAGGGGAUGCAGCUCUGUGUUCUCCGAACAGGGGUGCUAUGAGCCUUGGGAAGGCAUCACCGCCUCUGUUCCAGCAGGCACCUCCAGAAACCCGUCCAUCCAGACAGGGACUGCGUGGCGGGGAGCUCAUCCCUCCCACACUCCGAGCCCAGCCCAGAAACUGGGUGAGCAGGGAGCUUGCACUGUGCACCCAGGACUGAGUUUGUUUUGUGUGUGGGACACACCUGGCACACCCAAGCCCGAAGGUGGCCUCCCACUCACCAGCCAGGAGCCCCAGUGGCCAGCGUGCUGGGGAACAGAGCCAAAGUCAGGCGGCCUUUCUCCGGGGGUUCUGUGACCCGGCCGGCCAAUGGGAACAAUACCUGGGAGGAAAAGAAAACCGGGAAGCACCCAGAAGCCACCUACAUGCCUGAUAAAUGAUGGCAGGGCGGGGCAGCCUCACGUGAUCUGGGAGACUGCAGGAGCAGGGUCAUCCCACGCUGAAAGUGACAGAGCAACACACAGACCACCCACUCUGCGCAAGUGGGGCGGCUUCAAGUCUGGAAGGCUGUCGCAUCCCGAGUCCCGGGUCCCAAGGAGGCGGCUCUGGCAACG
ensembl:lncRNA